GGAGUUUUGCUCUUUUUGCCCAGGAUGGAGUGCAUUGGCACGAUCUUGGCUCACUGCAACCUCCGCCUCCUGGGUUCAAGUGAUUCUCCUGCCUCAGCCUCCUAUAUAGCUGGGAUUACAGGCGCACGCCACCAGGCCUAGCUAAUUGUGUACUUUUAGUAGAAAUGGGGUUUCGCCAUGUUGGUCAGGCUGGUCUUGAACUCCUGACCUCAGGUGAUCCACCUGCCUCGGACUCCCAAAGUGUUGGGAUUACAGGCAUGAGCCACUGCACCCAGCCAGUCAUUGCAUUUUCAAGGAAUCUCUCAGGCAUAAAUUCUCUGACGUUGUCAAAGGAAUGAAUUCUAACUGCAAAAGUUACCACCUUCAUUUGUAAGGUUUCUCUCCACUAUGAAUUCUGUGAUGGCUUGCAAGGUUUGAACUCUGACUUUAGAACUUUCCACACGUUACAUUUGUAAGGUUUCCCACCAGUAUGGAUUGUCUGAUGGGUAGUUAGGCUUGAACAGAUACUAAAGGGUUUCCCACACUCAUAUGGUUUCUCUCCGGUAUGAAUUCUCUGAUGCCUUGCAAGUUUUGAAGUUUGACUAAAGGCUUUGCCACACUCAUUACACUUGUAAGGUUUCUCUCCAGUAUGAAUUCCCCGAUGUCUUGCAAGGUGUGAAUUCUGAGUGAAGACCUUCCCACACUCAUUGCAUUUGUAAGGUUUUUUUCCAGUAUGGAUUGCCUGAUGGGUAGUUAGGCUUGAACGGACACUAAAGGCUUUCCCACACUGAUUACACUCAUAUGGUUUCUCUCCAGUAUGAACUCUCUGAUGCCUUGCAAGCUUUGAUGUUUGACUAAAGGCUUUGCCACAUUCAUUACACUGGUAAGGUUUACCUCCAGUAUGAACUCUCCGAUGUCUUGCAAGGUGUGAAUUCUGAGUGAAGACCUUGCCACACUCAUUACAUUUGUAAGGUUUUUCACCAGUAUGGAUGACCUGAUGGGUAGUUAGGUUUGAAUGUUCACUAAAGGCUUUGCCAUACUCAUUAUACUUGUAAGGUUUCUCUCCAUAUGAAUUCGCCGAUGCUUUGCAAGGUAUGAAUUGUGCCUGAAGACCUUGCCACAUUCAUUACAUUUGUAAGGUUUCUCUCCAGUAUGAAUUC
rnacentral:lncRNA from 10 species